rfam:Pygoscelis adeliae contig38897, whole genome shotgun sequence.
GAACCGGUUGUUUUUACAACCAUAGAAAUGAAAGCAGUGAAUUUUG